rnacentral:misc_RNA from 1 species
AAGUCGUAACAAGGUUUCCGUAGGUGAACCUGCGGAAGGAUCAUUCAUAAUAAAAGUGUUUUAUGGCACUUUUAAAACAAUCCAUAUCCACCUUGUGUGCAAUGUUUUUUUUUUAUCAAAUAACUCUAUUUUAAUUUAUUUUGUCUGAAAUAUAUUAUGAAUACUUAAUUCAAAAAUAUAACUUUCAACAACGGAUCUCUUGGCUCUC